rnacentral:rRNA from 1 species
CGCCUCUUGAUAAACCAUAAGAGGUCCAGCCUGCCCAGUGACAUUGUUCAACGGCCGCGGUAUCCUAACCGUGCGAAGGUAGCGUAAUCACUUGUCCCUUAAAUGGGGACUAGUAUGAAUGGCCCCACGAAAGCUAUACUGUCUCCUUUCUCUAAUCAGUUAAACUAAUCUCCCCGUGAAGAAGCGGGGAUAAACAUGCAAGACGAGAAGACCCUAUGGAGCUUUAAACAAUUGAAACACUUGCAUUUUAUUUGUAAACCCACAUGAAACUUCACACUUUGUUUCUAGUUUUAGGUUGGGGUGACCGCGGAGAAAAAACUAACCUCCACGCUGAAAGAGUUUUACCUCUAAACAAAAAGCUACAUCUUUAUGUAUUAAUAUAUUAACCUUAAUUGACCCAAUUUAUUGAUCAACGAACCAAGUUACCCUAGGGAUAACAGCGCAAUCCAUUUCAAGAGCUCUUAUCGACAAAUGGGUUUACGACCUCGAUGUUGGAUCAGGGUGUCCUAGUGGUGCAGCCGCUACUAAUGGUUCGUUUGUUCAACGAUUAAAACCCU